AUGUAAAUUUUUGUAUGAUUAAUAAAUUAUUUUAAUAAUAAUUUAUAUUUUAAAUAAUCGCAGUAAUUAAUAUUAUUGAUUAAAGAAAUUUAGAAAUAGUAAUAUUAAAUAGAAUUGGUUAAAUUUGUGCCAGCAUCCGCGGUUAUACAAAUAAUUCAGUAAAUUUAUAUUAGUGAGAAUUAAUUAUGUUAUAUUUUUAUAAAAUAAUUUAUUAAGUGAAAUUUUAAAUUAUAAAUUUUUAAUAAAAAGAUUAAUUGAAGUUCAAAAAUUUUAAUUAUAAACUAGGAUUAGAUACCCUAUUAUUUAAAAUGUAAUUAAAAACACUAAGGUAGUAUUAGUUAUGUUCUUGAAACUUAAAAAAUUUGGCGGUAUUUUAGUCUAUUCAGAGGAACCUGUUCUAUAAUCGAUAAUCCACGAUGGACCUUACUUAAGUUUGUUAAUCAGUUUAUAUACCGUCGUUAUUAGAAUAUUUUAUAAGAAUAAUAAUUUUCAUAAAAUUUUAUAAAAACAUAUAUCAGAUCAAGGUGUAGCUUAUAUUUAAGUAGAAAUGGGUUACAAUAAAAAUAUUUAUACGGAAAUAAUUAUGAAAAAAUUAUUUAAGGUGGAUUUGAUAGUAAAAUUAUAAAGAUUAAUAAUUUGAUUUUAGCUCUAAAAUAUGUACACAUCGCCCGUCGCUCUUAUUAAUAAGAUAAGAUAAGUCGUAACAUAGUAGAUGUA
rnacentral:rRNA from 1 species